GGAUUAGAUACCCUGGUAGUCCUAGCUGUAAACGAUGAGCACUGGGUUGAGGGGACUUCCACAUCCUCUCGGCCGUAGCGAAAGCGUUAAGUGCUCCGCCUGGGGAGUAUGGUCGCAAGGCUGAAACUCAAAGGGAUUGACGGGGGCUCACACAAGCGGUGGAGGAUGUGCCUUAAUUCGAGGAUACGCGAAGAACCUUAUCCUAGAUUUGACAUGCUUGAGAGUCUCUAUGAAAGUAGAGAGUGCCCUUCGGGGAGCUCUUGCACAGGUGCUGCAUGGCUGUCGUCAGCUCGUGCUG
rnacentral:rRNA from 1 species